CCCCCAUGUUAACUGUCAAACGCACCGGGGGCAUGCUUUAAGUUCAAUACAAAUUAUUUGUGUGGCACUCCGUUUUUUUGCAAACGGCAGCUUUCUUUACAACGUCGGUGACGCCGAGCACAUUUCAAAGGCAACCGUGUGUCGGUCUGUCAGAAAUGUGACUUUGGCACUGAAACGUUUUCUUUACACGUUUGUGAUGUUUCCAAGUCACCGACCUAUACGAACAAUCAAGGAAGAGUUCUACAGAAUUGCAGAUUUUCCGGGUGUCAUCGGGUGCAUCGAUGGAACUCAUAUUCCUAUUAAAGCUCCUUCAGUGAAUGAAGGAGACUAUGUUAAUAGGAAGUCCUUCCACAGCAUCAAUGUGCAGGUUGUAUGUGAUGCCAGAAAUAUCAUCA